UGCUAAACAAGAUCAUUUUGGACUUCAUUCCUUGGCGGAAGCUUUAAGAAGAAAGUUACACAUGGGAUGAUGGCAUGAUGUGACUUGUGACUGCCCACCCAUCUUAAUUGAACCUUUCAGUUUGCUAUUAAAGCAUCGUUGUUCAAACACCUGCUGUGAUCAAAACAUCACUCUGACUUUAACUAACUACUCUGUGACAGACACCUAAUGUCUUUUCAUUGAAAAUUACAGAGAACCUGACACACCACGCUUGAGUGCAGAAGCCUGGCUAAAACCUGCACAGGUGUUGAACCACAGCAGGAAAAGGAGCAGAGAAAGAUCCACUUUCUGAAUAAAUCAAGCAGAAGCAAUAUCCUGCAUGUGUAGAGAGAUGGACGGGAGCCCAUGUAAUAUUAAAAGCGCCGUGUCUGGCAACGCAAGCGGUGCCACUCCUUUCAUUGCUCCUGCUCCCUCCACUACCCGGCCACUGGCUCUUCUCUCAAGGUGACACUUCAAAGCACCAACGCAGACGUGGAAGGCCUGGCUGCCAGCAUGGAGCCAACCCAACCCUCCUCCACCCCCUUCCUCAAACAGGCGCUUGCUACCCCCGCUGGGCCAGGUCAACGCCAAGAAUCCACACCGCUUGCCACUCGGGAACCCUUGUCAAAAUCUGCUUCGUAUCCUUAAUUAAUAACACUCCUUUCCUAUUGCAAACACGAGGGGGGAGAGAGUGCCCGUCUGGAGUCCACUGGCACUGUUUGUUACUUGAGUCUCAAUUCUGAAAAAGAGUUGUGCUGAAAAUGAAGGCGGUGUUAUCUGUUACACCAAUAUCUGUUGGAAUUUAGGUAAUGAUUUACUGCAAAUUGUGGCCCUGUAAUGUCAGUGUUUUUUUCUCACCUUUCUGUCAUCGUUUUCACUCAGGAUGCCCCUCAUUGCGACUCAUCCAGAGAAAUGUGCACCCUAAGGAAUAAUUUGUGAAGGUUCAAGUGGGUACAUGAAAAAUGCAGCAUACGGAGGUAGGAAGACAUCAAGACAUGUCCGAAUCCAGUGUUCUUGUAUAACAUGCCUUCAGCUGCAACAGUAUCAUUUGCUGUAUAAUAUAUCCGGGAAUUCUGUGCGUACGAUUUGGUGGUUCGUGGAAGGAAUGAAAAUAUAGACUCCAAAGUUUUAAGCAUAGGUUAUGUUUUUGGUCUGCUGAAAAGUUUUUAAAAAACAUAUGCUAAAAUGGCCGUGUAUUUCACGUGUGUGAUCUUUCAUACUUGUUAAGCUUUUAUGAUAAUCAAAUUCCAUCAUGCAUAAAUAUAUAUUUCACCCCAAAAAAUGUAACAUUCUGUCAUCAUUUAAGGCCCA